GACGAACGCUGGCGGCGUGCUUAACACAUGCAAGUCGAACGGAAAGGCCCUGCUUUUGUGGGGUGCUCGAGUGGCGAACGGGUGAGUAACACGUGAGUAACCUGCCCUUGACUUUGGGAUAACUUCAGGAAACUGGGGCUAAUACCGGAUAGGAGCUCCUGCUGCAUGGUGGGGGUUGGAAAGUUUCGGCGGUUGGGGAUGGACUCGCGGCUUAUCAGCUUGUUGGUGGGGUAGUGGCUUACCAAGGCUUUGACGGGUAGCCGGCCUGAGAGGGUGACCGGCCACAUUGGGACUGAGAUACGGCCCAGACUCCUACGGGAGGCAGCAGUGGGGAAUGUUGCACAAUGGGCGGGAGCCUGAUGCAGCAACGCAGCGUGCGGGAUGACGGCCUUCGGGUUGUAAACCGCUUUCGCCUGUGACGAAGCGUGAGUGACGGUAAUGGGUAAAGAAGCACCGGCUAACUACGUG
rnacentral:rRNA from 1 species